rnacentral:piRNA from 1 species
UCAACCACAAUAAAGGCGCAGCGGCUUA